GCGAACACCUCCAACAGAGCGCUCUAUGACACAGAGUGCCAACGGUAAAGCGCGACAUAGUAUCAGAGUACAAACUUCCCAACCGUGCUACAUCAUGACCGCAGGUCAUGCCAUCUAGAUGGCGAUGAAGGAGCCAGCUAGUCGGUUAAUAAUGAAGUUUAGUCAGAAUCUUAUGAAACGAUUUGCCAAAUCUAAAAAUACUGAUUGUUAUAACAACUUUUUUCUUUCUUAGCAACUUUUGCAAGCAUUCCCACAUCUUGGCAUAGAUUGAAAAUCCGAGGGUACUCGAUUCAAGUUCAAGCAGCCCCCUCACCCAAAAUGAAACCGAUCCUUCUUAGGAGACACCGUUCAGCUUGAAUCCAUCACUGAAAAUGCCUUGCCCAUCUCCUGUGGAAAAUCAAGAAAACGAAACCCCCAAUUGCCGUCGCGCAAAACUUGUUAGAGAGCACGAGAUCAAAUUGGAACAAAUACCAGGCGUCAUAAAUUCCGACAUCUAUAAUGACGAGGCAAAGGACAGUCUGAUACAGCAGCUGCAAACCCUUCCUCUGAGCAUGGUUGAGGUGAAAUGCCAUCCGACAAACUUCCCCCGGAUUGAUAGGAAACGAUCCCAUCAACCACAAAACCGAAGUUUCUUUCCUUCCAAGAAGAAAGGGGUGACCCAAUGGUUUGUGCUUUCCUUGAGAGUUUCUUCCAUCUUUUCUACCAGCUUAUUUUUUUGUUUUAUUUCCUUCGUGGCCUUUUUUCAUCUUAUGUGUUCACUUUAUCAUUUUUUUUAUUUUCUAUGUAAUUAUAGUCCGUAAGUUAUUUUUAGUUUCCAUUGCAAUAUGAAGGAUAGAUUAAAAAUCA